CCUUUCUAAAAAGUCAUUUUUCUGUCACAUGUGAGUCUCUUGGUGACACAGAGAAGAGAGGCUAUGUCUACACUCAGGGUUCUGACCUGUGGAAAUCUGAAUGAGUAGUGACCUAACAUU
ensembl:snoRNA